GCUCAGAUUGAACGCUGGCGGCAUGCCUUACACAUGCAAGUCGAACGGCAGCACGGAGCUUGCUCUGGUGGCGAGUGGCGAACGGGUGAGUAAUAUAUCGGAACGUACCCUAGAGUGGGGGAUAACGUAGCGAAAGUUACGCUAAUACCGCAUACGAUCUAAGGAUGAAAGUGGGGGAUCGCAAGACCUCAUGCUCGUGGAGCGGCCGAUAUCUGAUUAGCUAGUUGGUAGGGUAAAAGCCUACCAAGGCAUCGAUCAGUAGCUGGUCUGAGAGGACGACCAGCCACACUGGAACUGAGACACGGUCCAGACUCCUACGGGAGGCAGCAGUGGGGAAUUUUGGACAAUGGGCGAAAGCCUGAUCCAGCAAUGCCGCGUGAGUGAAGAAGGCCUUCGGGUUGUAAAGCUCUUUUGUCAGGGAAGAAACGGUGAGAGCUAAUAUCUCUUGCUAAUGACGGUACCUGAAGAAUAAGCACCGGCUAACUACGUGCCAGCAGCCGCGGUAAUACGUANGGGUGCAAGCGUUAAUCGGAAUUACUGGGCGUAAAGCGUGCGCAGGCGGUUUUUGUAAGUCUGAUGUGAAAUCCCCGGGCUCAACCUGGGAAUUGCAUUGGAGACUGCAAGGCUAGAAUCUGGC
rnacentral:rRNA from 1 species